rnacentral:piRNA from 1 species
UNGCAUACGUGUUUGCCUGACAUUGCAGU